rnacentral:pre_miRNA from 1 species
UAUCUAUUCCCUCUGUUCAGAAUUACUUGUCUUGGAUAUGGAUGUAUCUAGAUCGCGAAAAUGGAUGUAUCUAGAUGUAUUUUAGUUGUAGAUACAUCCAUAUCCGAGACAAGUAAUUCUGAAGGGAGGGAGUAUAAC